AGAGUGAACGCUGGCGGUAGGCCUAACACAUGCAAGUCGAACGGCAGCACAGUGGUAGCAAUACCAUGGGUGGCGAGUGGCGGACGGGUGAGGAAUACAUCGGAAUCUACCUUUUCGUGGGGGAUAACGUAGGGAGACUUACGCUAAUACCGCAUACGCCCUUCGGGGGAAAGCCGGGGAUCGCAAGACCUGGCGCGGAUAGAUGAGCCGAUGUCGGAUUAGCUAGUUGGUGAGGUAAUGGCUCACCAAGGCGACGAUCCGUAGCUGGUCUGAGAGGAUGAUCAGCCACACUGGAACUGAGACACGGUCCAGACUCCGUACGGGAGCAGCAGGUGGGAAUGUUGGACAAGUGGG
rnacentral:rRNA from 1 species